AAUUAAUGAACUUGAAUAAGUAUAUGUUUUGAAAACAUAAUAAAGAAGACUAAUCUUCUAUUAAUUU
rnacentral:tRNA from 1 species